rnacentral:rRNA from 1 species
CAGCCGCCGCGGUAAUACGGAGGGUGCAAGCGUUAAUCGGAAUUACUGGGCGUAAAGCGCACGCAGGCGGUCUGACAAGUCAGAUGUGAAAUCCCCGGGCUUAACCUGGGAACUGCAUUUGAAACUGUCAGGCUGGAGUCUUGUAGAGGGGGGUGGAAUUCCAGGUGUAGCGGUGAAAUGCGUAGAGAUCUGGAGGAAUACCGGUGGCGAAGGCGGCCCCCUGGACAAAGACUGACGCUCAGGUGCGAAAGCGUGGGGAGCAAACAGGAUUAGAUACCCGUGUAGUACCUGUCUCUUAUAC